rnacentral:rRNA from 1 species
AGAGUUUGAUCAGUGGCUCAGGAUGAACCGCCGGCGGCAUGCCUAAAACAUGCAAGUCGAGCGGUAAGGCCCCUUCGGGGGUACACGAGCGGCGGACGGGUGAGUAACGCGUGGGAAUCUACCCCAAACUGAGGGAUAAGCAUUGGAAACGAUGUCUAAUACCGCAUAUGGUCUUCGGAUUAAAGCUUCGGCGGUUUGGGAAGAGCCCGCGUAAGAUUAGCUAGUUGGUGAGGUAAAGGCUCACCAAGGCGACGAUCUUUAACUGGUUUGAGAGGAUGAUCAGUCACACUGGAACUGAGACACGGUCCAGACUCUUACGGGAGGCAGCAGUUAGGAAUUUUCCACAAUGGGCGAAAGCCUGAUGGAGCAAUGCCGCGUGCAGGAUGAAGGCCCUAGGGUUGUAAACUGCUUUUAUACGUGAAGAAUAUGACGGUAACGUAUGAAUAAGGAUCGGCUAACUCCGUG